rnacentral:rRNA from 1 species
GACGAACGCUAGCGGCGUGCUUAACACAUGCAAGUCGAACGGAAAGGCCCUGCUUUUGUGGGGUGCUCGAGUGGCGAACGGGUGAGUAACACGUGAGUAACCUGCCCUUGACUUUGGGAUAACUUCAAGAAACUGGGGCUAAUACCGGAUAGGAGCUCCUGCUGCCUGGUGGGGGUUGGAAAGUUUCGGCGGUUGGGGGGGGACUCGCGGCUUAUCAGCUUGUUGGUGGGGUAGUGGCUUACCAAGGCUUUGACGGGUAGCCGGCCUGAGAGGGUGACCGGCCACAUUGGGACUGAGAUACGGCCCAGACUCCUACGGGAGGCAGCAGUGGGGAAUAUUGCACAAUGGGCGGAAGCCUGAUGCAGCAACGCCGCGUGCGGGAUGACGGCCUUCGGGUUGUAAACCGCUUUCGCCUGUGACGAAGCGUGAGUGACGGUAAUGGGUAAAGAAGCACCGGCUAACUACGUG